rnacentral:rRNA from 1 species
GUGUCAGCCGCCGCGGUAAUACGUAGGGGGCGAGCGUUAUCCGGAAUUAUUGGGCGUAAAGAGUGCGUAGGUGGCCAGGUAAGCGUGGGGUGAAAGGCAAUAGCUUAACUAUUGUAAGCCUUGCGAACUGUCUGGCUUGAGUGCAGGAGAGGAAAGCGGAAUUCCUAGUGUAGCGGUGAAAUGCGUAGAUAUUAGGAGGAACACCAGUGGCGAAGGCGGCUUUCUGGACUGUAACUGACACUGAGGCACGAAAGCGUGGGGAGCAAACAGGAU